rnacentral:rRNA from 1 species
UACGGAGGGUGCAAGCGUUAAUCGGAAUUACUGGGCGUAAAGCGCACGUAGGUGGUUUGCUAAGUCAGCUGUGAAAUCCCCGGGCUCAACCUGGGCACUGCAGUUGAAACUGGCAAGCUAGAGUAGGGUAGAGGGGUGUGGAAUUCCAGGUGUAGCGGUGAAAUGCGUAGAUAUCUGGAGGAACAUCAGUGGCGAAGGCGACACCCUGGACUCAUACUGACACUGAGGUGCGAAAGCGUGGGGAGCAAACAGGAUUAGAAACCCCCGUAGUCC